CCAGAGGCCAGGAGUGUUAUCAUUCAGCUUCCUCCUGAUCUGGGGUCUUCUCCAUCCAUCAGCAUUUAAGAAAUAUUUUACAAUCUCAUUCAUCCUCCAUUUCAUAUAUAUUUUUGAGUACUAGCUCAGGUCAAACCACCACGGAGGAAAGAACUACACAGCAAAGUAGCAUGAGUUUAAGCAGUGUUCUGAGAACAGCGACUCCUUCUGGAAGAAUCUGCAAAGGAACAGAUGAUUGGCUACAAUGUGAAGGACAGACUGCAAGGGACAGCAGACCCAGAGGAGGACUACUGUAGUAAUUCACAUGACUCACAGGAAAGGUAGUCAACAAGAACAGACGGAAGUUGACAGCCACCAGAGGGCGAAUCAACUGGA